CCACACGGGCAGGGAGAGCACUGGAUUGCUUGUCAGGAGAAGCCACAACACCUCUGCACCAUCCAGCCUGGACUUGUUCCCCAGGCACAUCGGGAUAACCCCAAAUUUACCAGGGGAACCAGGAGACAAAACAUCCAGCAGCAACUCAGGAUGAGCAUGCAAGGAUCGAGGAUGUGGGGCUGGAGGAGCAUCCUGGGGAUGGGGUGGCUUCGAGCCAUCUCAGAGUAUCUGGAGAGGAGAAGGAAUCUGGCCCUUUUUGCUCUGUGCUUGUAUUCUUACAAAGUUCUCCUCCAGAAGCACAAAAUCAGCAGUUACAUAUAAGGGUGCAGGGUGAAGAUCCCAGUGGUGACAUCACUGCAGAUAAAUGUGAGCUGAGAACACCAGGAUGGAAAGUCCUGGCUCUCACCCCACGGCCUGAACCUUUUCUAACACAACUUUGCAUUCACUCAGCACAAACUGGAGCUCUUUCCUCACCCGUAACCCAACACAAUCCCAUCCAUAAAGCGUGAAAAUGGUUUUUCCUCACCAUGAUCUCAGGAAGGUUUGAAACCCCAUCUGGACACGUCAGGGUGCACAGUGAAAAAAGCAACCCCUGUCCCAGCAGCUGCUCUUGAGCAGCAUCAGAAGGCUCAGAGGCCAUUGGCUUUAUCAUUCCUGCCCAGAGCUCCUUGGGCUUUGCAAGUUCAAGCAAACCACAUUUUCUCUGUGGUUUCUGGCCUGUGCCACAUUGAGGUUCUCACACAGGCACCAACUGUCUGGCUGCAAAACCAUCAGGAGAACUUUUAUUACAUUUUCUAGACACUGUCAGCUAAGGGUGAUGGUGGUCCUGGAAACAGAGAGUUGCAGGAGAGGGAUGUGCUGAUCCCCCACUCUGUCAGGUAUUUAUUCAAGCACAGAGCAUACAAAUCCAGGGAGUUUCCAGGGUCCAGAGGAGUCCAAGAGCUCCAUGCCACAGUGUCCUGUGCCCAAACCGGUGCUCAAGGCUCCCCCAGCACUGCACAAGCCCCCAGAGCCCAGCCAGGCGCUGGCAGGGCUGGCUGGAAUCUGGCACGGGCCCAUUAAACCUCUCCAGAGGCUGCAAUGCAGAGCCUGGCCGUGCUGGGAAAACCCCCUCCCUCCUGCCCCAGACGGGGAAAUGCUCUUUUCCAUACAAUGGGAAAAGAAAAACAGCAGGAAACCAAGAGAAACAUUAAUAUGAAAUAUGCCCAGCUCCCCCUGUGCAUGAGAGAAGGACAGGAGGACGGAUCUGGCUGCCUGGGAGCCAGUGCUGGGGCAGAGCAGCCGCCGGGGCUGCAGCAGGGACAGCGGGAGGGGUCUGGGGGGGACAGAGGGGUCCUUCCCAUCUCAGGGCUCUGAUGUGGAGCCUGUUGCAACCCUGGAAAUCAUCUCUGCCUCAGCUAAAGCCAAGGAAACACCUUGCCCUGGACCACAGGCAUCCCGGGUGGAAGACAGCCAGCGGCAAAUACAAUUAGCCCUCUCCGCCUGGAAAGUGGGAUAACGAGAGUGCAGAGACAGCAGGCUCCGCUCUGCCUGCUCUCCCCUCCAGACGCCGGGUCUGGCUCCUUUCCACCAGCUAAGUACCGGAGCUCACACCGAGCUCCUGCUGCCCGUGGUCCCUCUGCCCUGCCGGGCACAAACCCCAUCUGUCCCCUCCAUCCCCGGCAGCGCAGGGAAGCGACCCCGUCCUGCCCGAGGGUGGGCAGGCGUCCUGUGCCAUGAUCACAGGCGAUGCCACCACGAGCUGCACCUUUAAACUCUUCUGUUUUAAAUCAUGAGACAGCCCAGGUGGAUCCUCAGCCCUGGUUCCAGCACCCCCAGGCUCAUCCCGCAUCAUCUCACCACCAAAAUGGGCACAGCGGCUCCUGUUUUUCACCCUCGGUUUCCCCCAGCACACAGGCAGAGCUGGCCCGAGGCGUGUUUUGCGUGGUCACAGAAGGAGCAGCGGCUCCUCCAGCCCAUCGGGUCCCUGCUGCCUGCGAGCUGCCUCCAGAAGAUGUCACAUCAAUUAAAAACGCUCAUUUGCUCCCGCUGAUCCCUGCACAGCCUCAGGCAGAGUCCCCGCGCCGCCUUUGUUUAAGUGCGUGUCUAAGUAUCUCUAUAAAUAUUGUAAUACAGACACACGAGAAGGGGCAUUAGCGAGCACAGAGCCCGGCUGUCCUCCCGCUGAAAAGACCAGACCUCGGCUGAUUCCCCGCGCUGGGGAUGGAGCGUGGUUAAAGCCCCAGGCACGGCCUGGCUGCUGGGAUGUUCCUCUGCUGUGCCUCACCCAGUCCUGAAGGAAUCUCCUGUCCCCUACCACUCCUAAAAAUCCACUUCGGCAGAAAAUAUUCCACUUUCUACCAAAGGUGUGGAGUUGGGGUCUUCUGAACUGCUUUUAUUUUCACACUCGAUCUUCUAAUGCUGAGAAGCAGCAAGCCAGGUCUAACUAAAACCCCUCCUGGUUUCACUAACAGCUUGGAUGUGGCUUGGAGCAACUCGGUCUAGUGGAAGGUGUCCCUGCCCAUGGCAGGGGGUGGAAUGAGAUGAGCUUGAAGGUCCCUUCCAACCCAAACCACCCCAUGGUUCUGUGAUAACUCAUUGGGAAGCAGCUGGCAGCGCCCCACACCCCGACAUCCUGCACCACCUGCAGCGCCAAAACUCCCGAACGCCACCCAAAAGCACUCGGGGAAAACAGGGAAGAGCACCGGGCUUGGCCAAACUUCCCCUGCGAAUACCAGAGCGGCUGAGGAACCAGUUCGGUCACGCAGAACUGGUUGUGUUUUCGUGUCUGAGGAGAGAAAGGAAACGAGCCUUGCCCUCCGCCGGGGUGGGAGCCGGGGGAAGGCGCCGUCCCUUGCCCGGGGGGCGAUAUUUGCCCUAACAAGCGGGGAUUGUUUUGGGGAGAAGCAGGAAGAAAGGCGGGCUGUUCGUGCUGCGGUGACUCACGGGGUGUAAAUCACACCGGGACAUCGCCGGGGAACUCGGAGCCGCUCGCCACAUCCGCGCCGGCGGCAGCGGCUCGGACACGCGGUCUCACGGGUGUCGCAGAGCCCAAGGGGGUGAUUCCUCCUCCUCUCCACCUCUCCUUCCAUCGCUGCGCUGAGCAUGGGCAGCAGGAAUUUUUUUACCGAGGAAGGAGGGUUUCUGCGCCUUAUUUCAGAAGGAAAAUCCGGGAUGCUCUGUGCCCAGCUGACCGCCGAGCCCCAUCGCGUGUGCGGGGCAGCCGGGACCCUCCCUCCGCCCGGCUGUGCUCAGCAUCCUGCAUCCCAGCCGGCCUCCUGCUCCCUAGGGCAGCUCGGCCGGAUCCCGGAGCAUUUCCCAGCACAAACACAGCCCAGAGCCCGAAAUGUGACACCUUCGAUAGGGAGAGAAGUCAGUGUACACCAGUUGAUAUGGAUGCAGUGAAAACAUGGGCACCAGCCAGGAAAAGCACACAACUGGACAUUUUCACAGUCUUGUUCAUCUAAGUUUACACAACCCAUUGUUGCUAACUGUGGCUUUUUAAAAAGAAUUAAAAAAAAAAAAAAAAAGAAAAAGAAAAA